GGUAGGCCAGCAGCUGUAGCUCCGAUUUGACCCCUAGCCUGCGAACUUCCAUAUGCCUCAGAUGCAGCCCUUAAAAAAAGAAAAGAAAAGAAAUAUACACACACACACAUCCAUAAUUCAGACGAAAAAACCAGGAUAGAGCUUAAAAUUUGGUGUAGGAUAUUAGGGUGGAGGAUGAAAAGUUGGAGUGGGACUUCUGGAUGUGCUUCCUGAUCAGUCGGAAGAGCCAAGGUACUUUGUUGCAGAUGUUUUAGGUGGGAGAGAGAGUUCGUAACUGAGUAGGGAGUGAGGUGAAGCGAAGCCUGGCCUCCACGUUGUGAGGAAUAUAGAUGUGAUAGGAGGGAAGGGGUGGUGACGUGGAUCGAGUCUGACCUUAAGAGAAAUCAUGUAUUUGGACUGAUAGCAUGAUACAAGGUGGGUGAGCGUAUGAGGCAAAGUUUGGAGGCAAAUAUGAUCAAGAGGCAGGAACUCCACAGCAAUUCCCUUCAUUUUUCUGCAGAUGAAGCAAUCUCUAUUAUCAUGGUUAUUGCUUUUUGACUUCUCAGAUAAUUUUAACUUAUUUUUAGAAAUAUCACCACAGCUUUAUCUUUAUUGUGACCAGAUGUGAGCAGAUUAAAAACAUUUGGAAUUGUUUGGAAAUAUUAGAGUUUGUGUAAAGCAGACACAUUAGUUAGAGGUAGACUGCUUUAGAUUAUAAGCAAAAGCAAGCAAAAGCUAAAGCAUUUUUUUUUGCACAAAUGACAAAAACAAAUAAAAAUCCCUGUCAGAAUAAAUGUAAUUUAUGGAUCUAUUAAAUAUAGUCUCAUCUAGCUCACUAAGUUGCUUCAUAUGUCUAUUUUCUAAAAAUUACUAACUGGUAACCUAAGACUAUUUAUUUUUAGUUAUUAGUUCACUCUUUGCUAUGAGACAUAGAAGACUCAUAAAGCAUUAAGGUUAAAGGACCUAAGAGAUAAUUGAAUUCAAGCCUUGAAUUUUGAAAAUGACAAAGCAGAGACUUAAAAGAAUAAAAUGAUCUUCCUAAGGCCAUGAAACUGGUUUGCGUUGGAACUGAAGCUAAAAUUCUGAUCUGCUGACACUCGGGUCACAAGGUGCUUGUUUUCCUAAUAUUAUCCAGAGUGGCCUUUAUGACAACACUUGGAAGUCAACCCCUUAAGAGUCUGAUACUAAUAACAUUAUACAUUAUGCACAAACAGUAUGUUGCAUUUCAAAUCAUAAGACCAUAUUAAAUUAAAUAAAAUACAAACAGACUUGAAUUUUUGUUAUGACACAUUAGGGAGAUUGACACUAGAGGCAAGGAUAAAGAAUUACAGGAUUAUUUUAGGGAGACUUGAAUUUUUAAAAAAAGAAACUUGAUAUAGUGGUAAACCAUGAUAGAUGCUUCGUCAGGGAGUGAUGUGAUUAAUGUGUUAUUCUAGGAAGGUUAUUCUAUCAGUUAUAUGGAUAUUGACAAAAAGUCAGGUUGAAAUCAAAAGAAAGAAAAUAAAAGCAGAGGCUUCUGAGAUGAGCCAGAACUGACAUGCAUGUGUACUGUUCAGGGAUGGUGGCAUGUCUGACCAUUUUUCGUUUAGUGUCUGAGUCUAUUCAGGCUGCUGUAACAUAAUACCAGAGACUGGGUGGCUUAAACAGCAGUCAUUUAUUUCUCACAGUUCUGGAGGCUGGGAAGUCCAAGACUAAGGCACUAGGAGCGUCUGUGUCUGCUCAGAGCCUGCAUCUUAGCUCAUAAACACAACCAUCUUCCCAUUGUCUUCACAGGGCAGAAAGGACAAGACCUCUCUGGGGUCUCUUUUAUGAGAGCACUAAUCCCAUCAUGAGGAAGGGCUCUGACCUCAGGAGCUAAUCACCUCCCCAAAGCCUCCACCUUCAAAUAACAUCACAGUUGGAGGUUAGAUUUCAACAGCUGAAUCUUUUUGUGUGUGUGUGUGUGUGGCUGUUCCUGCAGCCUGUGGAAGUUCCUGGGCCAGGAAUCGAACCUGAGCCACAGCAGCAACCUGAGCUGCUGCAGUGACAAUGCCAGGUCCUUAAGCCACUGCACCAGGGAACAGGGAACUCCCAGCAUAUGAAUCUUGAAGGAACACAAACAUUGUCCAUAGCAAUUAAUGACCAGUUAACAUCAGUAAUGUGGAAAGACAAAAAAGCUAUCAUGGUUGCUAACCAAGGCUUUGAAAUCCAUGAAAAUUGUUGUAAAAAUGCAGCUACCCAAGCUUCAAACUUUGUGAUUCUGAUUUUGUCCUGGGUGGAUCCUUGUUUUACAGGUGAUAGUAUAUAUCAAAUAAUAAAUGAGUGUUUGAGGGGGCAAUAGGAAACAAACCGAAUUUUUAAAAAACAGAUGUAGAGAUUCUUCGAUUUAUAAAAGCAAAUUUAUUCUUCUUCCUUGAAAAGUUGUUUACUUAGUUAAAUAAAUAAAGACUGCUAGUAAUUAAUGAUGAGGGUAUGUAUUCCCUAUAGAUAACUAAGGUUAGACUAGUUGUCUAUAGGCAAUAGGCAGCCUCUAGAUAAUCUAUACCCUCUGGAGACUGUUACACCCUCUAGGGAAGAGAUAACCCCCAGACUUCCUAAAAUAAGUAUUUAGAAAUAGGUAAAUACUAAACACAACAAGGAUUGUUCACUUUCAAGUGCUUGUCUUUUUAUUUUACCUUUUUCCUUCUCAUGUUUCAUUCUUUCCCAAGUCCAUUUGUACUGUCUGGUUUCCCUUUUAAUACCUACCACUCUCCUCACCCAGGCUCCUCCCUACAGAUGGAAGCCUUUGGGAGGAAGGAUAGGAAGGGAAGCUAAUGCUGCCAAACCUCCUACCUAGUGAGAAAGAUGAAGUAAUCGUGAUCCUUUGUCUUUAGAGAAACAAAGUGUGGCAGGAUUUGUUUGUAAGCACAGAAUCCUGCCUCUCUCUGCCUCAUUCUCUUGCUCUACUUCAGAUAUUCUGAUCUGAAAGUCCUGCUAUGAAAUCUAGACUAUUCAUGGAGGGGAUCUUUCAUCAUUUAAAAAUUGCCACUCACUAUUUUGCAUUCCAAGGAUAUAUGUACCUUAGUCUCAACCCCGUAAGCCCCAAAAGCAUAGGCUGAUUCACAAAUUCAUGACGCCUGUCUGAACUCUAGCCUUGUAUCCAGCUGCCUACUCAGCAUCACUACUUGUAUGUGUAGCAGGCAGCUCACUUUUAUUGCAUUCAUAACUGAGCUUGGCAAUUACUCCUCAGAAACCGUCUUUCCCACCUAGCCUUUCCCAUUGUAAUUUCUUACAAUUCCAUUCUUAUGGUUUUUCUGGGACAAAAGCAAAAGCAAGACUUUGGAGUCGUGACAGGUUUCUUUCACUCACCUCUCACACCUAAUUUGUCAGCAAAUCCCAUUCACUGUGUCUUCAGAAUAUAUCCUGGCUUCCAGCUAUGAUGGCCCAACUUGGAGCGAACCAGUCCUCUUCUCCCUGAGAGCAACUAGGAAAUCUGGGUAAAAUAUAAAAAAACAUCUGCUCGAGGGCAUUAUAUGGUUUCCAAGGCACCCGGAUUUGAGGAGUCAUAAUCCUAGAAUAAAAAGAAGUGCAGAGAAGUGAGAUUUACCUUCUAAGCCACUUUUGCCCAUGGGGCAGUGCAGGCCAGGAGUCACAGAAGCUGAGCAGAGAGCAGUUAUCAGAAGUCGGGUGCUUCUGAGAGAUAAAAGCUGGAGUACAAGGUCUGCCAGGUAGAUGGGCCCAGACUGUCAGCUGAGAGCUCUAAACAACAACAUGCAAGAAAUUAGGGAAAAUGAGAAAUGGAUCAGCUUUGAGGAAGAUUGAAACCUUUAUCCCAGGUAGCUUAAGCCCUGACUGGGUUAAUGGUUCUGCUCCUAUUUAAAACCGCCUUCUAGAAACCUGACAACAGCCCUUUGGAGAAAGAAUCACCCUUUUAGUCUCUACAAUUUUUCCAUCCAAUGUCCUGAUUUAUUAAGAGACAGGACCUUGGGAAAGAGUAGACAAUAAAAACACUCACAUGUGCCUCAGAUAUUGGAAUUUAAAAUAACUCUAAAAAUUAUGUUCGAGAAAAAUUGAUGACAAAAUGAAGAGUUUCCCUGGAAAACUGAAGUCUAUAAUAAAGAAUAAAUGGAAAUUCAAGAACUGAAAAUCAUCUUUUCUUGAUGGUGAUGAUUUUUUAAAUGUCUUCUCUAUUUUUCUUGAUAAAUCAGAAGCUUUUCAAUUUUAUUAGUCAUCUCAGAGAACAAAGUUUAGGUUUUAUUGGUUCUUUCUAGAGAAAUGGGUUUGUUUCUAGUAGGCAGCUACAGAUAACCUAGUAAACCACUCUAGGAUUCAGUUUUCACAUCUUGAAAAUGCAGGUUUUAGCUUAAUGAGUAGUUACGGAAUUUCAAUAAAAUGUUGAUUUUUGAGUUGUAAAGAGAACACUUAUACCUAUGUGGGUAUGUGCCCCACACAGGUGGGGCUUCAGAACUGAGAGAAGUCCAGGCCAGACGGUGGGUCAUCUGCCAAAAGGGGCAGUUGUAGCUAAGAAGGUGCAUAGGAUCAGCAAGAAAGAAAGGAAUUCCUUUCUUUCUGGCUCAGCAGAAACGAAUCUGACUAGUAUCCAUGAGGACGCAGGUUCGAUCCCUAGCCUCGCUCAGUGGGUUAAGGAUCUGGCGUUGUCAUAAGCUGUGGUGUAGGUUGCAGUCCCAGUUGCAGCUUGGCUCUGGCAUUCCUGUGGCUGUGGUAUAGGCCUGCAGCUACAGCUCUGAUUGACUCCUAGCCUG
rnacentral:lncRNA from 1 species